rnacentral:lncRNA from 1 species
AGCAGAACUCUCGCCUGGCCUCCAAGAGCUCUCCUCCAGGAAGGAGGGACCACACUGACUCGGGCCCUCCCCCAAUUCCUCCUGAGCCCCAACCCUGCCAAGCCUGGGACCCUCCCCAGCUCAGAGCAAAAGUCUGGGCUCUGAGACCAGGAUAACAAUCAUCUUCCACUCAUCCAUUGCUCAUUGGCCUUUCUGACUCGCCUAGCACCAACCGACAGUAUCACGAACUAGUUACUACGCGUUACCAAGGGCUCCUCUCGGUUUGCAGUGAUCUCCCGAGCUCCACCUGUUCCCCACACUCCAUCCCUCCUCCAAGGCUCAGCACAGUGACCAAUGGGACAGAGCCCUGGUGAGCUGGCGGACAAGAGUGAGUCUUCAGGGCCAGGGUUUAAGCCCAGGCCCAGAACAGAAGCCAUUUUUAUAAAUGAAGCAUCCGAAAUUGAAGCCUGCCAAGAUGAAGGCAGAAACAACUUGGCACAUUGCUUCCAGGCACGGAAGAAGGAGAAGCGUGUCUGUUUCAUACCAGAAACCCUCCGGUUCUGGUUUCUCCAAGCUCGGCCUUUACCUUCUCCUUGACUUGGAAGGGUCGCCUGUGGCCCCGCUCCCCCAUCUCUUCUGGAGCUGCCUUCUGUAAAGUGAUCUUUCUAUAUUUACUUAAACUUCUAUUUAAAGAGGAAUUCCUCAUAAUUACUCAGCCGCAGAGAGCUGACACUGUUUGGCUCUGUUUAUUUAGUUUCUCCUAGUGAUUGGCAAAAUGUCCUCAGUGGCUUUCAAG